ensembl:misc_RNA 7SK 7SK RNA
GGAUGUGAGGGUGGCUUGACUAGACAUCUGUCACCCCAUUGAUCAUUAGGGUUGAUUCCUUGAUCUGUCUGGCUAGGGGCGUGUCUCCCAUACUGCUCCUCUGCUUCUCACUUGGUCUAGAGGAUGACCUUCCCCAAUAAGAGUCUGCAGUAGAAGUUAUACAAGAAGGUAUGCUACCCUGCUAGGACCUAUAAACAAGCUCUUCAGGUCCAAAACAUUACUGAAAAUGUCAAAUAAAGGGAUCUGACAUUGAUGAAACCAACAGUAACCAGUUCAGUAGUU